rnacentral:lncRNA from 1 species
GCUUUAGCAUUUUUUAAUUAAAUUACGAGCCGCAAUAAUGUUUUGCUAACUGCAGCUCCCCGCUUCCUUGUGGAGCAGCUCGCAGAAAGGUAUAAUUUUGCAAACAGUUUCUUUAAGAGCUAAGCCUGAAGUACCAUCAGCGAUGUGUGUGAAUAGAAAAAGAAACACCUCCACAAAAGGAGGGAUUGUUAAUGGAGGACAAUCCGAAGGGGGCCCACUAAGGCCUGUCCUUUACAAUAACGAUGGAGGGCGAUGAUUUGAAUGCAGGGGGCCCUACUUUCAAAUCUGGACAAAAACAAAAUGGUAAUCAGGGUUGAAUCCCUCACUGGUCAAAGCAGUGGGCAGCAACUGGUCUCUUUAACUGCCCCCACCCCCUCCUUCCUCCAAAGCAGACCCCAAACAAGAGGAACUCUCCUCCUCUUUAACUUUAUUUCCUUGAUUAGCUCUAAAAAAAUAAUCACCCGGCUGGACUUGGGGGAAGUUUUUUAGGGGCUGUUUGAAAGCAGAGGGCUCCUCUCCUGCAGGUGCUGCGGGGAUGCGCCUCACCAUGGGCAGGUGGCACCAUUCAAGUUAAAGCAGCGCAGGCAAGUUUAUAACAUCAGGAAGAGAAACUGCUGCCUGAUCUCUGAGCUACCCAAGUCUUGUGCUCAGGAAGCUGAAAGGAACUACAAAAAUCCCUGCAAAGUGGUCCCUGCUGGCAAAAAGAACCCUCAAGACAAAACCCAAGUCUGUUGCACCGGAGCUGUCGGCCAUGCUGUUCCAGUUCAGGGGCUCCUGCAACAGAAAAGAUCAGCUGUUGGAGAACCCAUGGAAAGCCCUGGGGGAGAGCCAUGGCCGCAAGAAACUGCUCUAAAUGGAGAGGAUAUCAUACUGCAGCACCUAAUUACAAGCGGUGACUUUAUUUCUGAGCUCCCUGUGGCAGGACUCACUGCAGUAACACCAGGCUCCCACCAGCUGGGACUCCUAAUCAGGCACAAACGUACACCUUGUGAUGCAUACACAAAUGUAUACAUCACAGGCACCUGCCUUCUCCUUUCUCCCCAUGGCAAAUAGCAUGGCAGGAGGCUCUGCCUUGACCCCAGCAGUUACC